GGAAAGUGGCGCACGGGUGCGUAACGCGUAUGCAACCUACCUUUAUCAGGGGGAUAGCCUCUCGAAAGAGAGAUUAACACCGCAUAAAAUCAAAGAACGGCAUCGUUUAAUGAUCAAAUAUUUAUAGGAUAAAGAUGGGCAUGCGUGACAUUAGCUAGUUGGUGAGGUAACGGCUCACCAAGGCGACGAUGUCUAGGGGAUCUGAGAGGAUGACCCCCCACACUGGUACUGAGACACGGACCAGACUCCUACGGGAGGCAGCAGUAAGGAAUAUUGGUCAAUGGAGGCAACUCUGAACCAGCCAUGCCGCGUGCAGGAAGACGGCCCUAUGGGUUGUAAACUGCUUUUAUUCGGGAAUAAACCCUUUUACGUGUAAGAGGUUGAAUGUACCGAAAGAAUAAGGAUCGGCUAACUCCGUGCCAGCAGCCGCGGUAAUACGGAGGAUCCAAGCGUUAUCCGGAUUUAUUGGGUUUAAAGGGUGCGUAGGCGGCUUAUUAAGUCAGGGGUGAAAGACGGUGGCUCAACCAUCGC
rnacentral:rRNA from 1 species